AGAUAGGACACGCCCCUUUGAGCUGCGUGCUACAGCGAGGCUAAGCUAGUGGGGGCAAAGUUUCAGUGCAUUCCGUUGAUGUAGACGGCGUGAAAACGGAAACAACAAGUAUGCCGGCUAACUGUGCUGCAUACAGUUACACACUACGUCGUACGAUUGAGACAAGGAAACUUGGAAUGACUUUUCAUAGGUUUCCCAGAGACUAUGGGUUGAGGAGGAAUUGGAAGUUUGUCGGCUUAGACCUGGUGUCAUUCCAUCAGUGUUAAACUUCCCGGCUCAUCUUGGAAGAGUACGUGCCAGAAAGACCACGACCAAGCAGCCUUGAGAUCUUAGGCAGCGUCUCCCUGAGGUCCCUCUCUAUCUCCCCACACAUCCACCAACCACUGGAACACAUCUCCAAAGUUCUGCCGGGCCAGCUCAGCUUCCCCUCAGAAGAAGUGCUGCCACCUGCCAGAUGAAGGAGCCUUUUGAGAGGCAGCUGGCAUCGUGAUUGGACUGUACUUUGGUCUGUUCCAAUCCAGCUUCAGCUCCAGAGACGGCAGGCGGGACGAGUCAACGGAGGCCAGGUGGACGAAGACAUGCAGCUGAGUACAAUCCAGAAAACAACAGAGGAGGAGUGCAGUGGUCCAGAGCCAGAACAACCAGAGUAGCAUCACCAAAGAACUACAGACUCUUCACAACCUGCUCAAACUCUUGGUACAGGACCUCACCACACGGGUCAAGAAGGUUUCCGUGUCAUUUCUACUCUGAAGCUCACCUUCUCCUGCUCAAACUGCUGACAAAUGUUUCUGCUGCUCUAAAGUCUGGUCUCCAGAACUUCCUAAAAACUCUCAAAGUCUCUUCUGCUGCAGGUUGCUUUGUAGAACUGUUGCAGAAAACCUCACUAAACCACAUGGAGGGGCCUCAAGAUAGUCGUCCAAAUGAAA
ensembl:lncRNA